rfam:Camelus ferus unplaced genomic scaffold scaffold661, whole genome shotgun sequence.
GUGGGUAUAGCUCAAGUGGUAGAGCACAUGUUUAGCAUGCACAAAGUCCUGUGUUCAAUCCCCAGUACCUCCU